rnacentral:rRNA from 1 species
GACGAACGCUGGCGGCGUGCUUAACACAUGCAAGUCGAACGGAAAGGCCCUGCUUUUGUGGGGUGCUCGAGUGGCGAACGGGGGAGUAACACGUGAGUAACCUGCCCUUGACUUUGGGAUAACUUCAGGAAACUGGGGCUAAUACCGGAUAGGAGCUCCUGCUGCACGGUGGGGGUUGGAAAGUUUCGGCGGUUGGGGAUGGACUCGCGGCUUAUCCGCUUGUUGGUGGGGUAGUGGCUUACCAAGGCUUUGACGGGUAGCCGGCCUGAGAGGGUUACCGGCCACAUUGGGACUGAGAUACGGCCCAGACUCCUACGGGAGGCAGCAGUGGAGAAUAUUGCACAAUGGGCGGAAGCCUGAUGCAGCGACGCCGCGUGCGGGAUGACGGCCUUCGGGUUGUAAACCGCUUUCGCCUGUGACGAAGCGUGAGUGACGGUAAUGGGUAAAGAAGCACCGGCUAACUACGUG